GGGGGGGGCGAGCGUUGUUCGGAAUUACUGGGCGUAAAGGGUGCGUAGGCGGCUUUCUAAGUCGGAUGUGAAAACUCUGGGCUCAACCCAGAGCCUGCAUCUGAAACUGGAGAGCUAGGGUUUUGGAGGGGAAAGCGGAAUUCCAGGUGUAGCGGUGAAAUGCGUAGAUAUCUGGAGGAACACCGGUGGCGAAGGCGGCUUUCUGGACAAAUACCGACGCUGAGGCACGAAAGCUAGGGGAGCAAACAGGAUUAGAUACCCUGGUAGUCCUAGCCCUAAACGAUGGAUACUUGCUGUGGGGGGGAUUGAAGCCCCUUGUGGCGAAGCUAACGCAUUAAGUAUCCCGCCUGGGGAGUACGGUCGCAAGGCUG
rnacentral:rRNA from 1 species